AUGAACCCUAAUGCUAGUCCGGGUCCGGACGGCUUCGACCCAGGCUUCUAUAGGAAAUUCUGGCCCAUCCUAAAAGAAAAAAUUUGGCUAUUUUUCCUGGAGUUCCAUUCCCAAACAAGUGAUAUCUCGUAUUUAAAUCGGGCUCUCAUUAUCCUCCUCCCAAAGCAUCAGGAAGCCAGAUCACCUGCUGAUUUCCGACCCAUCUCUCUUCAAAACUGCCCGAUCAAAGGGGUUGCAAAGCUUCUUACUAACCGACUAAAGCACCUCAUUCCUCUCCUCGUCCAUGCUGACCAAACAGGCUUUCUCUCAAGCCGCAACAUCUCCGAGAACUCCCUUUACGCUGCAGAUAUCCUUCAUUGCUGUGCAAAGAGGAAAGCCCCUUCCCUCAUUGUCAAACUUGACUUUAGGAAAGCUUUUGAGUCUGUCUGCUGGUCCUCCCUCCUCCACAUCCUGCGGGUCAGAGGGUUCUCCCCUCGGUGGUGUGAUUGGAUCGAAUCAUUGCUUACCACUGGGUCUACCGCAGUGAUGCUCAAUGGCAUCCCCGGAAGAUGGAUCCAAUGCAAAAAUGGCCUCCGGCAAGGUGACCCUCUCUCUCCGUAUCUGUUCAUCAUUGUUGCUGAUAUCCUACAACAAAUGAUC
rnacentral:rRNA from 1 species